UAAAUACUUUGCUUGUCUGCAGUUUGGUGCAUAUCUAUCCAAUGGUUUUAAUUCAACAGAUACGGAAUAUCUGAGUUACACCAUGAAAACUAGUGUUGCUGUUAUAAUAUUCAUCGUUUGUCUUUCUGGAUUGAUGAUAAAUCUAACAGAAGGAGGAAUUAAGAUAACAUGUAAUUGGGGAGGAUGACCGAUAAAAAAACUUUGUAACGCAUGUUGUGACCACUUGAAAAAGGGAUGUACUGGUGGAAAGUGUGUUAGGAGAAAGAAAUGGCCUCGAAUUAAAACAAAAUGUCGAUGCGAUUGUAAAAAACCAUGAUAUGGGAGAUUCAAAUGAAACCCUGAUUGAUAAAUGGCAUAUUUGUAAAGGAAUUUCAACUGUUACGUGUAUCAUCAGAUAAUAUUUGUUUAGUAAAUAAAGAUUGAUGUGUGUA